ensembl:rRNA 5S_rRNA 5S ribosomal RNA
AUCUAUGGCCAUACCACUCUGAACACUCCCUAACUCUGAUCUGGUAAGUUAAGCAGGGUCAGUCCUGGUUAGUACUUGGAUGGGAGAAACUAUAAGCUUGAAC